UACGAAGGGGGCUAGCGCUGCUCGGAAUCACUGGGCGUAAAGCGCACGUCGGCGGAUUCUUAAGUCAGGGGUGAAAUCCUGGAGCUCAACUCCAGAACUGCCUUUGAUACUGAGGGUCUUGAGUUCGGGAGAGGUGAGUGGAACUGCGAGUGUAGAGGUGAAAUUCGUAGAUAUUCGCAAGAACACCAGUGGCGAAGGCGGCUCACUGGCCCGAUACUGACGCUGAGGUGCGAAAGCGUGGGGAGCGAACAGG
rnacentral:rRNA from 1 species